rnacentral:rRNA from 1 species
UACGAGGGGGGCAAAUGUUGUUCGGAAUCACUGGGCGUAAAGGGAGCGUAGGCGGGUUUCUAAGUCAGGUGUUUAAUCCCGGGGCCCAACCCCGGACAGGCACUGAACUGGGAAUCUUGAAUAGUGGAGAGGUCAGUGGAAUUGGGGGUGUAGCGGGUGGAAUGCGUAGAGAUCCCCAAGAACACCAGUUGCGAAGGCGGCUGACUGGACACAGUAUUGACGCUGAGGCUCGAAAGCAUGGGGAGCAAACAGGG